GAUGAACGCUGGCGGCGUGCCUAAUACAUGCAAGUCGAGCGAACAGACGAGGAGCUUGCUUUUCUGACGUUAGCGGCGGACGGGUGAGUAACACGUGGAUAACCUACCUAUAAGACUGGGAUAACUUCGGGAAACCGGAGCUAAUACCGGAUAAUAUCUUGAACCGCAUGGUUCAAUAGUGAAAGACGGUCUUGCUGUCACUUAUAGAUGGAUCCGCGCUGCAUUAGCUAGUUGGUAAGGUAACGGCUUACCAAGGCAACGAUGCGUAGCCGACCUGAGAGGGUGAUCGGCCACACUGGAACGGAGACACGGUCCAGACUCCUACGGGAGGCAGCAGUAGGGAAUCUUCCGCAAUGGGCGAAAGCCUGACGGAGCAACGCCGCGUGAGUGAUGAAGGUCUUCGGAUCGUAAAACUCUGUUAUUAGGGAAGAACAUAUGUGUAAGUAACUGUGCACGUCUUGACGGUACCUAAUCAGAAAGCCACGGCUAACUACGUG
rnacentral:rRNA from 1 species